rnacentral:rRNA from 1 species
UGGGGAAUAUUGCACAAUGGGCGCAAGCCUGAUGCAGCCAUGCCGCGUGUAUGAAGAAGGCCUUCGGGUUGUAAAGUACUUUCAGUCGGGAGGAAGGUGUCAAGGUUAAUAACCUUGGCAAUUGACGUUACCGACAGAAGAAGCACCGGCUAACUCCGUGCCAGCAGCCGCGGUAAUACGGAGGGAGCAAGCGUUAAUCGGAAUUACUGGGCGUAAAGCGCACGCAGGCGGUUGAUUGAGUCAGAUGUGAAAUCCCCGGGCUUAACCCGGGAAUUGCAUCUGAUACUGGUCAGCUAGAGUCUUGUAGAGGGGGGUAGAAUUCCAUGUGUAGCGGUGAAAUGCGUAGAGAUGUGGAGGAAUACCGGUGGCGAAGGCGGCCCCCUGAACAAAGACUGACGCUCAGGUGCGAAAGCGUGGGGAGCAAACAGG